UUGAACGCUGGCGGCAUGCCUUACACAUGCAAGUCGAACGGUAGAGGGGCAACCCUUGAGAGUGGCAAACGGGUGAGUAAUGCAUCGGAACGUGCCCAGUCGUGGGGGAUAACGCAGCGAAAGCUGUGCUAAUACCGCAUGUGAUCUGUGGAUGAAAGCAGGGGACCGCAAGGCCUUGUGCGAUUGGAGCGGCCGAUGUCAGAUUAGCUAGUUGGUAGGGUAAAAGCCUACCAAGGCGACGAUCUGUAGCUG
rnacentral:rRNA from 1 species